rnacentral:rRNA from 1 species
CCUACGGGGGGCAGCAGUAGGGAAUCUUCGGCAAUGGACGAAAGUCUGACCGAGCAACGCCGCGUGAGUGAAGAAGGUUUUCGGAUCGUAAAACUCUGUUGUUAGAGAAGAACAAGGAUGAGAGUAACUGUUCAUCCCUUGACGGUAUCUAACCAGAAAGCCACGGCUAACUACGUGCCAGCAGCCGCGGUAAUACGUAGGUGGCAAGCGUUGUCCGGAUUUAUUGGGCGUAAAGCGAGCGCAGGCGGUUUCUUAAGUCUGAUGUGAAAGCCCCCGGCUCAACCGGGGAGGGUCAUUGGAAACUGGGAGACUUGAGUGCAGAAGAGGAGAGUGGAAUUCCAUGUGUAGCGGUGAAAUGCGUAGAUAUAUGGAGGAACACCAGUGGCGAAGGCGGCUCUCUGGUCUGUAACUGACGCUGAGGCUCGAAAGCGUGGGGAGCAAACAGGAUUAGAUACCCGUGUAGUC